CCUGCAGCUCUGGGAGAGGAGGCCCAGCCCGGGAUUCCCAGCUGCUCCCGUUCUCUGAUCAGGACUGAGCACAGACGACUUACCAUGGAGCUGGGGCUGAGCUGGGUGGUCCUGGUUGCUCUUCUACAAGGUGUCCAGGCUGAGGUGCAGCUGGUGGAGUCUGGGGGAGGCUUGGUGCAGCCUGGGGGGUCUCUGAGACGCUCCUGUGCAACCUCUGGAUUCACCUUCGGUAGCUACUGGAUGUACUGGGUCCGCCAGGCUCCAGGGAAGGGGCUGGAGUGGGUGUCCAGUAUUAAUACUGGUGAUCAUAGUGGUGGUAGCACAUACUAUGCAGACUCCGUGAAGGGCCGAUUCACCAUCUCCAGAGACAACGCCAAGAACACGGUGUAUCUGCAAAUGAACAGCCUGAAACCUGAGGACACGGCCGUUUAUUACUGUGCAGCUGACUACUGGGGCCAGGGGACCCAGGUCACCGUCUCCUCAGUGAUUUUAGAUCUGCCCCCCAGCGUGACACUCUUCAUGCCCCCCCGAGACGGCUUCUCUGGCACUUCCAAACGCACGUCCAAGCUCAUCUGUCAGGCCACAGACUUCAGCCCCAGGGAGAUCUCCGUGUCCUGGUUUCGUGAGGGCAAGCGGCUGGUGUCUGGCUUCAUUACGGAAGAUGUGGAAGCCUCAAAGUCCAAUCCAGGGACCUUCAGUGUCAUCAGCAUGCUGACCAUCACCGACGGCGACUGGUUCAGCCAGGCUGUGUACACCUGCCAGGUGGAGCACAGAGGGAUGGUCAUCGAGAAGAACGUGUCUUCCCAGUGCAACCCCAGUCCUUCCCCCGGCAUCGAGGUCUUCGCCAUUCCCCCCUCCUUCUCCGACAUCUUCCUCAACAAGUCAGCCAAGCUCACCUGCCUGGUCACAGGCCUGGUCACCUACGACAGCCUGAGAAUUUCCUGGACCCGCCAGGGUGAAAAGGCUGUGGAUUCCCAGAUCAUUGACUCCACGAUCCUCCCCAACGGCACCUUCAGCGCCACGUGUGUGGCGUCAGUCUGCGUGGAGGACUGGGAGUCAGGAGACAGGUUCACGUGCACGGUGACCCACCUGGAUCUGCCCUCACCCCUGAAGCGGAGCAUCUUCAAGCCCACAGAAGUGCACAAGCACAUGCCUUCCGUCUACGUGCUGCCGCCGGCCCGGGAGCAGCUGAGCCUGCGGGAGUCAGCCUCCAUCACCUGCCUGGUGAAGGGCUUCUCCCCUCCGGACGUGUUUGUGCAGUGGCUGAAGAAGGGGGAGCAGGAGCCCCUGUCCCCUGACAACUACGUGACCAGUGCCCCAGUGCCCGAGCCCAACAGCCCGGGCUACUACUUUGUCCACAGCGUCCUGACGGUGAGCGAGAAGGACUGGAGUGCCGGGGCGACCUACACCUGCGUCGUGGGCCAUGAGGCCCUGCCCCACUUGGUGACCGAGAGGACCGUGGACAAGUCCACCGAGGGGGAGGUGAGCGCGGAUGAGGAAGGCUUCGAGAACCUGAACACCAUGGCCUCCACCUUCAUCGUCCUCUUCCUCCUGAGCCUCUUCUACAGCACCACCGUCACCCUGUUCAAGGUGAAGUGACCCACCAAGCAAGGAUGUGGGAGACCAGAGACGGACAAGACGGGUGCCGCCCGGGGGCCUGGGGUCCCCUGCCUGCGUGGCCCAUCCGCAUGUACUCAGACCUUCCCUGUGUCCCUCUCCAGCUUCAAGCGCUAAGAAACUGGCUUCUCCCAACACGGCCAAAUGCCGUGGCCAAGCCGGGUGCCCGCAGCCGUAGGCCCAGCCCGGCCCUGCUUUGUGAUGUCGCUCUUGUGGCCUUGAAAUAAAGACGUCAGUUUUAUCUUGUGAAA